CUGUUGCAAUGUGUGGUGUGUCGUAUGGUAGCGCUCUGGCUGCCGCCUGUCAGAUAUCAACCUAUGUACAUAUACGACCCCAAAAGUUGUUUCCUGAUCAAGUAUGGACACGACAGUGGGGACCAUGGCUUUGAGUCGAGGACAAAAUAUUAAAGUGUAUGACAAAGAAGUGUCACAGUUGAUUGGAUUGAAACGUUGCAAAAGUGUAGCAAAUAUCCAUGUUUAUAUUAGCCUGCCGGUCGAAGCUAGCACGAUCUGAGCCGUCAUAGACUAUGGAAAUCAUGAGAAGGCAAAAAGAGCUCCAACUAGCAUUAAUGAAGCAUUGUUUGGCGAUAUGUGGAGCAGUUGGCAUAAUGUCAUGGCGUUUUUUUUCUGUAGAUCUUGGUGAUAUAGAACUUGAAAUGCUGAGAAGCUAGCAGUCAACGGUAUCAAUUGUAUGGUGAUUUGCAGCAAUUCUACGCGAAACUGUUCCAAGUGCUAGUUUCUCUGUGAGAAACGAAUGUUUAUGGAGCAAACUCUAUUGCUCAUCUGUAGUUGCAUUUCAAUGUACGGUCGAUAGUUGCUUGGUUGUCCAUGUACUUUUUCAUUGCCAGCUAAAGUGAAUACUCAAACUUUUAGAAAUAGAGUUGAUGAGUUUUUAUAAUUAGUGGGUUAACUCGGCUUAUUACUUUGA